rnacentral:rRNA from 1 species
CAGCCGCCGCGGUAAUACCGGCGGCCCGAGUGGCGGUCACUAUUAUUGGGCUUAAAGCGUCCGUAGCCGGGGUGGGAAGUCCUCCGGGAAAUCUGGCCGCUUAACGGUCAGAAUGCCGGAGGAUACUCCCAGCCUAGGGAGCGGGAGAGGCCGAGGGUAUUCCCGGAGUAGGGGGGAAAUCCUAUAAUCCCGGGAGGACCACCUGUGGGGAAGGCGCUCGGCUGGAACGCGUCCGACGGUGAGGGACGAAGGCCAGGGGAGCAAACCGGAUUAGAUACCCGGGUAGUCGUGGCUGUAAACGAUGCGGACUUUGUGUCGGACAAGCUAUGAGCUUGUCCGGUGCCGGAGGGAAACCGUUAAGUCCGCCGCCUGGGGAGUACGGCCGCAAGGCUGAAACUUAAAGGAAUUGGCGGG